rnacentral:rRNA from 1 species
ACCCCGCUGAAACUUAAGCAUAUCAAUAAGCGGAGGAAAAGAAACCAACAGGGAUUGCCUCAGUAACGGCGAGUGAAGCGGCAACAGCUCAAAUUUGAAAUCUGGCCCUAGGCCCGAGUUGUAAUUUGCAGAGGAUGCUUUUGGUGCGGUGCCUUCCAAGUUCCCUAGAACGGGACGCCAGAGAGGGUGAGAGCCCCGUACAGUUGGACACCAAGCCUUUGUAAAGCUCCUUCGACGAGUCGAGUAGUUUGGGAAUGCUGCUCAAAAUGGGAGGUAUAUUUCUUCUAAAGCUAAAUACCGGCCAGAGACCGAUAGCGCACAAGUAGAGUGAUCGAAAGAUGAAAAGCACUUUGAAAAGAGGGUUAAACAGCACGUGAAAUUGUUAAAAGGGAAGCGCUUGUGACCAGACUUGCGUCCGGUGAAUCACCCAGCUCUCGCGGCUGGGGCACUUCGCCGGCUCAGGCCAGCAUCAGCUCGCUGUCGGGGACAAAAGCUUCAGGAACGUAGCUCUCUUCGGGGAGUGUUAUAGCCUGUUGCAUAAUACCCUUCGGCGGGCUGAGGUACGCGCUCCGCAAGGAUGCUGGCAUAAUGGUCAUCAGCGACCCGUCUUGAAACACGGAACCAAGGAGA